rnacentral:rRNA from 1 species
AUGCGACUACUUCCUCCCUCCUCGCCUCGACGACGAGGAGGACCUCUCCGACCUGUUCACCUUGGCCCUCUUUGCCGGCGGCGGGGUCGCCGGAGCAGCGCCCCGUUUCUGUGGCCGCCCGACGCUUUUCUUCGUCGCGGCAGCCUUGCCUCCUGCCUUGGAGCCACCGCGGCCGGUGUUCUUCCUGCCUGGCCCCUUCCUGGCCUUGGGCUGCUCCUCCUCCUCCUCCUCCGGCGCCGGCGCCGACCGCUUCCGUUUCGUGAGCGGCGACCCUCUCUUCUUCGGGGGCGACGACUUGCCCUGGUUCAGCCGCUUCAGGAAGUCCACGGCGAUCCGCUUCUUGGGCAGCCCACCGGCGGCCGCCCCGUCGGAGUCCCCGUUCUCCUUCUUCUCAGCCGCCGCCGCAGCCGCUUCCUCCGCAGCUGCCGCCGCCUUCUUGCGGCUCAGAGCGGAGUUCUUGCCGGGGCCGCGGGUCUUCUUCGUCCCCGUCCCCCACGCCUUGCCCUUGGCCGCCGCGGCCAGGGCAGCCUUCUUCUCGCCGUCGCUCUCCGCCUCCUCCUCAACGUCCCGCUUCUCCACGGCCUCCUCCUUCCUCGCGACGGCCGCCGCGGCGGCAGCCUUGGCGAUGGAGCUCCUCUUGCGGCAGAAGAUGAGCGGCUUGGCAGCCUUCUGGAUCAGCGGCCCGACGAUGUCGGGCUCGGCCUUCCGCGAGUCGAGCCCCGCCGCCGGCGCCGGCGGAGGAUUAGCGCCGCUCGGCGGCUCCCGCUUGGCCGGGGGCUCGCGGAGCGAGGCGGAGACCUGCGCGGAGACGAGGUGGAGGGCGUUGAGCGCGGCGGCGGCGUGGUCGGGCGCGUGGCGCGGGAGGUAGACGGCGGCGUUGGCGCAGAGCAGCAGCAGGUCGCGGUAGAGCUCGGCGCUGCUGGCGUAGCCCGCCGCGCCGUCCAGCUUCCGGCGCAUGGCCUCCAGGUCCACGUGCCGCCUGAUCGUGCCCCGGUACGACUCGCUCUCCUGCACAGCAGACCAAACCAAAGCGGACCCACCAGCACGUGA